rnacentral:lncRNA from 1 species
CGGAGAAAUUAGAAUCAAAGCAAUAAGGAUGGGGAAAUAUCUGGCAAUGGGCAAUACAGGAAACGUUACUUUAGUGGCAAGUAUUUCUGGAGUCUUUUUUAGCUAAACGAGGAGCAGCUCCACAAUUUGAAGUUUGUAAAGAAUUUAAAAAUAUUCAUGUUGGGAAAUAUCCAAGUUCUCAGAAUUAGGCAGAAGAAGUCCUUAGUCUGAAAUUGUGAAUUUGACCAUUUAUACAACUACAGCGUGUAUAAAAAAACUGCAUAGUUUGUGAAAACUUUAUGCAAAGGUAGUUUGGGGACUGCUAGUAUAUAAUUGACACUAAAAUUAUUUUGGAAAUUAAUUUUUAAGUGCAGGGGGGGUGUCUUAAAAAAAAAAUAAAAUGAAAAAUGGUUUUCGCACAAAAAUGGAAAGCUUGACAAUCUCUUCCCCAGGGCCGUCGUGCUGAGAAGGCCCUGGCAUCGGCUAGAAUUUGACAACCCAAAUUUUUAAUAGGGCGUAAUAAAUUAAGUCCACUUAAUUUCAGUGGGCGAAAUUGAUUUGUUCUUCAAAAUUUCCUAUACUUGCUGCUCCAAGACAAUUAGACAAGGUAAGUUUAAUAUGUUUUUAAUCGUCGAGAAAUAAGCCAUCGGAAAAUGUCUGAAUCAAGUCCAUACGAUCAGAAAUUUAGAAGUUAGGAGUCAAUUUGGCAGCCGCUUGACUAAAAUUUAAUUGUUUACAACAUGGCAACAAGAUUACAAAUCUUCUGUAAACUCAUCCAAUUUUUGUUGUAGAGACUUUGUUUACUUAUCUUUUGAAAGAAAAUCGUCUAUAAGGAUUUAAUUUAAAAAAUAUAUAAUGUGUCUCGUGUUGAGAUAGAAAAUAUCUUUUAAAAUGAAGAAAAGUGAAUGGCCUUUCCACGUCAGUCUCACGUCAGUCGAGACUUACUACUAUAAAUCUUUAGUUUGGACAGUAGGCAUCAAAUUUCGUCGGGAAAUUUGAUGAAAACUUGCUCAAAGCUUUACAUAUUUAUAUAAUCUAUAUCGCUAUACAACCAGGAGUUUAAAAAUGUUUGAAUGAAGUAUAUUGCUUAAGUGUUUUAAAAAUUAUCCAAAGUUUAGCGCUAGCUGUUGCGCUGUAUUAUGACAUGUUGUCAUAUGUAAAUAUUUUGAAAUUCUCAGUACAAAACUUUAGAUAACUUUUAAAAUACUGAACCAAUAUACCUCAUUCACACUUUAAACUCCUGGUUGUAUAGCGAUACAGAUUAUAUAAAGUAUGUAAAGUUUUGAGCAAGUUUUCACCACAUUUUCGGACGAAAUUUGAUGCUUACUGUCUAAACUAAAGUCUCUACAACAAAAAUUGUAUGAGCUUAAUAAGAUUUGUUAUCUUGUUGUCAUGUUGUAAACAAUUAAAUUUUGGUCAAGCGGCUUCCAAAUUGACCCCAAACUUUUAAAUUUUCUGAUUGUAUAAAACUUGAUUCAAACAUUUUCCGAUAGCUUAUAUCUCGAGGAUUAAAAACAUAUAAAAUUUACCUUAUAUUGUAUACUAUCAAGUAUAGGAAAUUUUGAAGAACAAAUCAGUUUCGCGCAUUGAAAUUAAGUGAUCUUAGUUUAUUACAACCCAUAAUUUUGGGUGUUAAAUUCAAACUGCGGCCAGGGCCUUCUCAGCUUCUCUUGAAAGCUUGGAAGGCAAUUUUAAUGCAUUCAUGGCGUCCAAAUUAGGAGGUGUUUUCUGAAUUAUCAAGGUACCUGACAAUUUGAUGUAUAUUAAGUCCACCGCCCGGCCUCUACGAUUCACUUUUUUGCCAUAGUAUAGCCUUUCAUGCAUAAUUUUUAAAGAUUUUGUAAUCGAAAUAACUUGUCAAGGUCAUAUUCUAUAAACUACCAUCAUUAUUGCAUAUUUUGGAAAAUCUCUCCCUUGCAGCCACCAUUAAAUGUUGAUGCAUUCUCAGAAAACUGUUUUAUUAAAGCAUUUGUAAUACAUUCAACGUUGUUUAGGACUGGGCAGAGAGGCAGUGGGAACGUGUAAAUUACUCCAGUCGAAUAGUAAAAAAUGUCGCAGAUAAAUGUUUUGUUAGAGUGUGUGCAAUGAUUUUAUUCAGGAUUGUAGUUGAAACAAUUGUGCGAAAUCCUUCAUCCCAAAAAUCUUAAUAAUAAUAAGUAAUAUCCUUAAAUUUAAUCCUCCAUCUAGGUAAAUGAAAUAAAAGACACAAUAUUCAUUGACCUGGGAAAGAUUACAACUUCAUUUAUCGCAAUUUGCUCUAAAUCGUAUCCAUCAAAGUAUUUGGCUAUCUCUGCAUCAGGAUCUGUUAGUGGUUGUACGAAUAUGGACAGUGAUAAUA